AGAUUGAACGCUGGCGGCAUGCCUUACACAUGCAAGUCGAACGGCAGCACGGGAGCAAUCCUGGUGGCGAGUGGCGAACGGGUGAGCAAUACAUCGGAACGUGCCCAAUCGUGGGGGAUAACGCAGCGAAAGCUGUGCUAAUACCGCAUAAGAUCUACGGAUGAAAGCAGGGGAUCGCAAGACCUUGCGCGAAUGGAGCGGCCGAUGGCAGAUUAGGUAGUUGGUGAGGUAAGGCUCACCAAGCCUUCGAUCUGUAGCUGGUCUGAGAGGACGACCAGCCACACUGGGACUGGAGACACGGCCCAG
rnacentral:rRNA from 1 species